rnacentral:rRNA from 1 species
CAGCCGCCGCGGUAAUACCGGCGGCCCGAGUGGCGGCCACUAUUAUUGGGCCUAAAGCGUCAGUAGCCGGGUUGGUUAGUCUCCCGGGAAAUCUGGCCGCUUAACGGUCCGAAUUCCGGGGGAUACUGCCAGCCUAGGGACCGGGAGAGGCCGAGGGGAUUCCCGGGGUAGGGGUGAAAUCCUAUAAUCCCGGGAGGACCACCUGUGGCGAAGGCGCUCGGCUGGAACGGGUCCGACGGUGAGGGACGAAGGCCAGGGUAGCAAACCGGAUUAGAUACCCGGGCAGUCCUGGCUGUAAACGAUGCGGACGUUGUGUCGGACAAGCUAUGAGCUUGUCCGGUGCCGGAGGGAAACCGUUAAGUCCGCCGCCUGGGGAGUACGGCCGCAAGGCUGAAACUUAAAGGAAUUGGCGGG